rnacentral:tRNA from 1 species
CGGGAUGUAGCGCAGUUCGGUAGCGCGCCUGUUUGGGAACAGGAGGUCAUAGGUUCAAAUCCUUUCAUCCCGA